rnacentral:rRNA from 1 species
UACGUAGGCAGCAAGCGUUGUUCGGAAUUACUGGGCGUAAAGCGUGCGCAGGCGGUUGUGUAAGACAGAUGUGAAAUCCCCGGGCUCAACCUGGGAACUGCAUUUGUGACUGCACAGCUGGAGUGCGGCAGAGGGGGAUGGAAUUCCGCGUGUAGCAGUGAAAUGCGUAGAUAUGCGGAGGAACACCGAUGGCGAAGGCAAUCCCCUGGGCCUGCACUGACGCUCAUGCACGAAAGCGUGGGGAGCAAACAGG